UAAAUCGCUGAAGUGAAAACGCGGGGGAACCAAUCGUUACGAAGUCUUGUACUUCUUGGGGUGAAUCCACAUUGUGGUAAGGCUAACUCUUAUGGCCUGAAUCCGACAGCUAACCUCGUAAGCGUUAUAAGGAGA
rnacentral:sRNA from 1 species